UACGUAGGGUGCAAGCGUUGUCCGGAAUUAUUGGGCGUAAAGAGCUCGUAGGCGGUUUGUCGCGUCUGCUGUGAAAACGCGAGGCUCAACCUCGCGCCUGCAGUGGGUACGGGCAGACUGGAGUGCGGUAGGGGAGAUUGGAAUUCCUGGUGUAGCGGUGAAAUGCGCAGAUAUCAGGAGGAACACCGGUGGCGAAGGCGGCCUGCUGGGCAGUUUUGCUGACACUGAGGCGCGACAGCGUGGGGAGCAAACAGG
rnacentral:rRNA from 1 species